rnacentral:rRNA from 1 species
AGAGUUUGAUCAUGGCUCAGGAUGAACGCUAGCGGCAGGCUUAAUACAUGCAAGUCGAGGGGCAGCAGGUCUGUAGCAAUACAGAUGCUGGCGACCGGCAAACGGGUGCGGAACACGUACAGAACCUUCCUUCGAGCGGGGAAUAGCCCAGAGAAAUUUGGAUUAAUACCCCAUAGUAUAUUGAAGUGGCAUCACUUUGAUAUUAAAGAUUUAUCACUUGAAGAUGGCUGUGCGGCUGAUUAGGUAGUUGGCGGGGUAACGGCCCACCAAGCCAGCGAUCAGUAACUGGUGUGAGAGCACGACCAGUCACACGGGCACUGAGACACGGGCCCGACUCCUACGGGAGGCAGCAGUAAGGAAUAUUGGUCAAUGGACGAAAGUCUGAACCAGCCAUGCCGCGUGGAGGAUGAAGGUCCUCUGGAUUGUAAACUUCUUUUAUCUGGGACGAAAAAAGGGAAUUCUUUCUCGUCUGACGGUACCAGAUGAAUAAGCACCGGCUAACUCCGUGCCAGCAGCCGCGGUAAUUC